UACAUGUAAAUGUAAGCUAUAUUCAUAUAUAUGAUUGAAGGAUAUUUUAGAAUAUCUACCUUUCCCUGUAUUUUUAAUAAUAUUGUAUUUGUAACUUGGGUUUCUUGUAUUCAUUAAUCUAUAUCUUGUGCGUGCAGCUCUGGAUGAUAAAACUCCAAAUCUUCUUAUUGGUAUGCUCUUUUUUUCCAGUCUUUUUUCACUUGAUCACCAUUAUUAUAUUUUAAUACUGAUCCAAAAGGGACAGGUCGACAAAGUUAUAUUUUUAAAUCGUUAAGAACAGACACUAUACGCUAAAUUCAUGAUGUUGGGGUCGUACAUGAUUGACUAGCUCUACUGAUCGUCUUCUUUGCUUUGUUCGUGUUCUUUGCUGUUAAUUUUAGUUUCUAGUUUUUUUUGAAAUUAUUCUAUUUUUACAGCAAUUAAGAAUGAGAAAAAUACUGUAAAAGAGAUCAUGUACAUGUAUUAAAUAUUGACCAUGGUAUUUGUAACUUGUAUGGUUUUCUUAUUAUACUAAUUUAUGUAUAUUCUUGUAUAUACAGGUGGCUUUGAGUGACCAGUUUUAUUAUUGAUGUUCCUAACGUAUGGUGGGAGCUAAAUU
rnacentral:lncRNA from 1 species